GCUUCGAUCAGGGAAAGUCCCAUAAGAAUUAGUGAUAGUGCAGUUGGUGUUUUUCGAAAAGCAUUUGAUGGGAUCCUCGGGAGGGGUACAACUCACUAUAAUGAGAAACAGGAAGAGAAAAGUCGAUCGGAAAACUUGUCGAAAUGUAACCAUGUUGGCAUAUGAGGGUGGGUUGUGAUGGGUUCAAUUUGUAGUUUGUAUUGAUGAGAGAGCGGU
rnacentral:misc_RNA from 1 species